CAAACCAGUACAAAGGUCAUUUCCGCGCUGGUUUCAACGAGUGCGCUCAUAAGCAGAAGUUUUGGCAACUUUGUACUAAGAAGAUUUUACUGUCCCUGUAGGAAAGAAGCGGCGGUCUUGGAGGCAUCAGGGGGUGUGCAGAAAGAAAAUCCGUCCUGUGGUCAGCAAAAACCAGCUCCUCCUAAGAUACCACCUCUGGUGUUAAAAAUACCUCUUCACUUGUCACUUGUCACGCAGGACCUGUCUGGCUUCGCCGUGCUGACAUGCCGCGCACCAUUUGCCAGCAGCUGUAUCUAAGCACAGGGAAUCAGCCAGCAAAUUCCCAUUUUUGUGACAUAUUUACCCUGUGAACUGCUCCCCCUCAUCUAACAGGGCCCCAGCAAAGGAAGAGCUCACGCCGCCUCCGCACCUCCCUGCGGGCUGGGGCAGCUCACGCUGCAACCCAGAGAGAAAAGCCACGGCACUCACUGUCCUCUGGACCUCCGAGCUCUCCUUGGACUACACACGGUUUGGACUUCGUGCACCUCCUUUGCAAGUGUGCACAUAUAACGGGUAAAAUCUUGGCCUUCUGAAAAAUCAGUGGUACUUCUGGAAUCCUGGCUCGGCUGAAGCGGUGGCAUCUGCAGCUAUCAACACUGCUGCAGGUCUACACUGCUGGGGUCAUGUCUGACAAAAGCAUUUUGUUAAGUAAAACAACUUUCUAUAGGAACAUACUAAAUUUAUUAAGCUCUGAUUGAUAAAGUUGUUUGUUUUUUUUUUAUGCUGAGAUGCAGUACCUGGUCAAAAUGAGAAACAGAUGCACUCCAGAGCAGUCAGUGGGUUGAUGAUGAGGAUGCUGGCAUGGGUUAAACCAGGUUUUAACCUGUCUACAUUGGUCACUGCAACCUACAGCCUGAAAAAUGGCUGGAAAUCACACUCCUGGCAGCUCAGAAUUUCUCAUAAAUAAUAAGUUUCAUACCCAAUUCUACUCUCCGCUACUUUCAGGCAAAAAUUCCCAAUGAAGACGGUGCCUCAGGAGAGCAGUUAGUGAAGCACUUUGCCAUGACAGUAUUUAGGAUGAAAACCCUAUUUUGCUGUGACAUAUUGUUCAACCUCCUUCUUCCCUGCCCCCUUAGUUUCCCCCUCUAUUUUCCUGUAGAUUUUGCUAAGCACUUGCACGCAAAACCAUUAGCCAGUGAUGACAAUGUAAGUGUGUUGUGGAAAGCCCAGAGGAGAAUCCUUCAGAGUCUGAAACCUCGUACUGAUGGACUCAAAAAACCACAUGCAGUUAUUUUUUCUGUAGCUCAACCAUGAAUUAUGUAUUGUUCAUAUGGAUGCCACUGGGAACAUCAAUCACAAGUCCUCUCUCAAGCCUCCUCAAUACCCCUGUCAGCUGACACCUGGGCUACAGGCACUUAAAUACUACAACCCACGACGCCGUUCCUCGCACUGCUCAGUUCACCUCCUUGCCCACUGAGACACAAGCAACCUGUAAUGUCUCGCUGCCAUCAGAAACAUUACUCCGGGAAGUGCUGCAGGUCUGUUUAGCAGAGCAGAGAUUGGAGCUUCUCCCUCUGAGGAAAUUAUCUUUCUACAUCAUGUGACAAAAUUUCACAAAAUAUGUGUGUAAGAUCCAGCCCUGCCGCCCCCAAACAACAACAACAAAAACCCAGUUCAGAAAGGCCACAAUAUUUUUGCUAUACUGAGCGUUACACUUCGUCUGCCCAUAAGAGGUCAGUGCCUCAUGGGAGUCCUCGUUCAAACGCCUCCUGUCCUCAUUCCUUGCCAGAGGACAAGGUGCUUGCCGGAAUCCGGUUCCUGCUCUGUUUUGUUCAGCACACAUGGGCUGACUGGUGCCGCUGGGAGGUCGGGAGCGUCAGUCCCCUGGCAAUAACCAAGCAGUGGGCAGACUGUGGGGAAAAUGGUAAAAACGGCAGUUUUUCAGGCAGAUACCAUACGUGGAAGCAUUAUGUAUGGGAAUCUCUUGCAGAACUAGACUGUCUUGAAUAAAUGUCUCACCAUGCCAUUUUAGCAGUUCUGUUUCCAAAGUAGAUACCUAAGAGAAAGUCAAAUCCAUUGUGCAGGUUUUCCCCAAAAUUACACACACACACACAAAAAAAAUAUAUUGAAAGAGUACGAAACGGAGCAUUGUUAACUGAUUAGUAAUUGGUAUCUUAAAUUUUGAAGUCUUUCACAAAGUAGUAGUUAAAAUGCCUGCGACAAAAUGAAAUGCCAGUUUUAUUGGAUUAGCUAUCCUGUAAUUUAUGGUCUGUAUUUAAAGAUAAACCCGUGGUGAAAGUUUACUUAGUUAUACGCACCUUUUAAAAAAGCAGUAAGAGAAAACGUUGUGUAGAAUGUCAUAAGACCAUGUGAAUCUUGUAACUGGAACCAACACUUUCAAAACCCUUUCUUAAGUUGAAGUUUCUAAUCAGAUACUUUAAGAGAUUAUCUAUCUAGCUGCCUAUAGACACCUACGACCAUAAGAAAUGAGAGAAAGAGCAAGUGAUUACUAUCUGAAAAACUCACCGCAAAACACUAUGAAAAGCACCAAUAUGCACGAAGGUCUGAUUUGCAUGUUUAUUUCUCGCUGACUGAUAGCGUUCACCUCACAAGGCUUUUCUGCUUUCGCAGAGAUUUCUCAAUAGGCUGUUAAUUACCCACGGUAGAUGGAGAAAAGAGCAUCAUCCUCAUCU